rnacentral:misc_RNA from 1 species
UCCAUAAUGCUUUGAUUUUCCAGUUUUUAGUAUGUAAGUUUGAGAAUCCAUAAUGAUAUCAUGUGAGAAUUGAUCUGUCAUGAGAUAUUAGAGAACUUGGAGAAGCCUACAAAUCCUUUUCCCCGUACUCGAGACACUUCAGGUUAUACAAGGACAUAGUUUGCAGAUUCAUCUACCUCCCCUUGGUUCCUCAUUCCAAAUCGUGAGUCCCAAAUUGCAGGAUGUUUGGGUCCCAAAACGCUGCAGGACGCAAUCUGAAUUGCUAAAUUCUAGCAAACCCAUUAACUCAACACAGUGCCAUUGUGAACACAAAAUCAAAGGAGAAAUGGACGUAAGGAGAAGAAAUAUAAAGAAUUUGAAGAAUUAUAAUUCAAAUUAUUGAUUUUCUGUUUUUGUUCACAGUGGUGAGCUUCAACUUCAAUUUUCUAUGGGUGCUAAUGCUUAUGACAUUGCUGGGAGCUUGCGAUGAAACUACAUAAUCAUAACCAACAGAAUCACCAUGAAUCUGUGAAAAUCUCAACAAAUCACCUUUUAAAAUGAGAAAGGGCGAAGAAGAUGAGAUUGGAAAGUAGAGGAAGUGUCGGUGUUGAUGAAUAUAAAGCUGAAUAGGGGACUAAUUCUUUCUCUGUAACAUGUGUAAUUUAUAUGGUGCCAUGUAGAAGCUAGAAGCUUCUAGCAAUUUGAUUUAAAAAAAGAAACCCAUUAAUAUUAUUAAUUAAUAUAUUAUCAUUUCUUUUCAAAAAUAAAAAAUGAAAUAUUAGAUUGCCACUCUCAUUUUUAAAAUAACUAAAUAAAUUCAUACAGUAAAUUAUAAUUAUUAUUUUAAAAAAAUAUUGUAAAGAAUAAAAGUAUUAAUU